UACGAAGGGGGCGAGCGUUGUUCGGAUUUACUGGGCGUAAAGGGCGCGCAGGCGGCGGACCAAGUCAGGCGUGAAAGCCCCGGGCUUAACCUGGGAGGUGCGUCUGGGACUGGUCUGCUAGAGAUCGGGAGAGGAGAGUGGAAUUCCCAGUGUAGAGGUGAAAUUCGUAGAUAUUGGGAGGAACACCAAUGGCGAAGGCAGAUCUCUGGGCCGUAACUGACGCUGAGGAGCGAAAGCAUGGGGAGCGAACAGG
rnacentral:rRNA from 1 species